AUUGAACGCUGGCGGCAUGCUUUACACAUGCAAGUCGAACGGUAACAGGCCGCAAGGUGCUGACGAGUGGCGAACGGGUGAGUAAUGCAUCGGAACGUGCCCAGUCGUGGGGGAUAACGCAGCGAAAGCUGUGCUAAUACAGCAUACGAUCUGUGGAUGAAAGCGGGGGACCUGCGGGCCUCGCGCGGUUGGCGCGGCCGAUGUCAGAUUAGGUAGUUGGUGGGGUAAAGGCCCACCAAGCCAACGAUAUGUAGCUGGUCUGAGAGGACGACCAGCCACACUGGGACUGAGACACGGCCCAGACUCCUACGGGAGGCAGCAGUGGGGAAUUUUGGACAAUGGGGGCAACCCUGAUCCAGCAAUGCCGCGUGCAGGAAGAAGGCCUUCGGGUUGUAAACUGCUUUUGUACGGAACGAAACGGUCCGGGUUAAUACCCUGGGCUAAUGACGGUACCGUAAGAAUAAGCACCGGCUAACUACGUGCCAGCCGCCGCCGUAACAC
rnacentral:rRNA from 1 species